rnacentral:rRNA from 1 species
AUUGAACGCUGGCGGCAUGCCUAACACAUGCAAGUCGAACGAGUGGCGGACGGGUGAGUAAUGUCUAGGAAACUGCCUUGUGGAGGGGGAUAACUACUGGAAACGGUAGCUAAUACCGCAUACCAUCUGAUGUGCCCAGAUGGGAUUAGCUAGUAGGUGGGGUAAAGGCCAACCUAGGCGACGAUCCCUAGCUGGUCUGAGAGGAGGACCAGCCAAACUGGAACUGAGACACGGUCCAGACUCCUCCGGGAGGCAGAAGUGGGGAAUAUUGCACAAUGGGCGAAAGCCUGAUGCAGCAAUGCCGCGUGGGUGAGGAAGGCCUUCGGGUGGAAAAGCACUUUCAGCGAGGAGGCGUUACUCGCAGAAGAAGCACCGGCUAACUCCGUGCCAGCAGCCGCGGUAAUAC